GGCAGAGUGGCAGAGUGGUAAGGAGCAGGGCUUGUGACUGAGAGGUUGCUGGUUCAAUUCCCCUGCUCCUGUGCCA